GGUCAAGUGAAGAAGCGCAUACGGUGGAUGCCUUGGCAGUCAGAGGCGAUGAAAGACGUGGUAGCCUGCGAAAAGCUUCGGGGAGUCGGCAAACAGACUUUGAUCCGGAGAUCUCUGAAUGGGGGAACCCACCUAGGAUAACCUAGGUAUCUUGUACUGAAUCCAUAGGUGCAAGAGGCGAACCAGGGGAACUGAAACAUCUAAGUACCCUGAGGAAAAGAAAUCAACCGAGAUUCCCUUAGUAGUGGCGAGCGAACGGGGAUUAGCCCUUAAGCUUCAUUGAUUUUAGCGGAACGCUCUGGAAAGUGCGGCCAUAGUGGGUGAUAGCCCCGUACGCGAAAGGAUCUUUGAAGUGAAAUCGAGUAGGACGGAGCACGAGAAACUUUGUCUGAACAUGGGGGGACCAUCCUCCAAGGCUAAAUACUACUGACUGACCGAUAGUGAACCAGUACCGUGAGGGAAAGGCGAAAAGAACCCCGGAGAGGGGAGUGAAAUAGAACCUGAAACCGUAUGCGUACAAGCAGUGGGAGCCUACUUGUUAGGUGACUGCGUACCUUUUGUAUAAUGGGUCAGCGACUUAUAUUCAGUGGCAAGCUUAACCGUAUAGGGUAGGCGUAGCGAAAGCGAGUCUUAAUAGGGCGUUUAGUCGCUGGGUAUAGACCCGAAACCGGGCGAUCUAUCCAUGAGCAGGUUGAAGGUUAGGUAACACUGACUGGAGGACCGAACCCACUCCCGUUGAAAAGGUAGGGGAUGACUUGUGGAUCGGAGUGAAAGGCUAAUCAAGCUCGGAGAUAGCUGGUUCUCCUCGAAAGCUAUUUAGGUAGCGCCUCAUGUAUCACUCUGGGGGGUAGAGCACUGUUUCGGCUAGGGGGUCAUCCCGACUUACCAAACCGAUGCAAACUCCGAAUACCCAGAAGUGCCGAGCAUGGGAGACACACGGCGGGUGCUAACGUCCGUCGUGAAAAGGGAAACAACCCAGACCGCCAGCUAAGGUCCCAAAGUUGUGGUUAAGUGGUAAACGAUGUGGGAAGGCUUAGACAGCUAGGAGGUUGGCUUAGAAGCAGCCAUCCUUUAAAGAAAGCGUAAUAGCUCACUAGUCGAGUCGGCCUGCGCGGAAGAUGUAACGGGGCUCAAACCACACACCGAAGCUGCGGGUGUCACGCAANNNNNNNNNNNNNNNNNNNNNNNNNNNNNNNNNNNNNNNNNNNNNNNNNNNNNNNNNNNNNNNNNNNNNNNNNNNNNNNNNNNNNNNNNNNNNACGCAAGUGACGCGGUAGAGGAGCGUUCUGUAAGCCUGUGAAGGUGAGUUGAGAAGCUUGCUGGAGGUAUCAGAAGUGCGAAUGCUGACAUGAGUAACGACAAUGGGUGUGAAAAACACCCACGCCGAAAGACCAAGGGUUCCUGCGCAACGUUAAUCGACGCAGGGUUAGUCGGUUCCUAAGGCGAGGCUGAAAAGCGUAGUCGAUGGGAAACAGGUUAAUAUUCCUGUACUUCUGGUUACUGCGAUGGAGGGACGGAGAAGGCUAGGCCAGCUUGGCGUUGGUUGUCCAAGUUUAAGGUGGUAGGCUGAAAUCUUAGGUAAAUCCGGGGUUUCAAGGCCGAGAGCUGAUGACGAGUCGUCUUUUAGAUGACGAAGUGGUUGAUGCCAUGCUUCCAAGAAAAGCUUCUAAGCUUCAGGUAACCAGGAACCGUACCCCAAACCGACACAGGUGGUCGGGUAGAGAAUACCAAGGCGCUUGAGAGAACUCGGGUGAAGGAACUAGGCAAAAUGGCACCGUAACUUCGGGAGAAGGUGCGCCGGCUAGGGUGAAGGAUUUACUCCGUAAGCUCUGGCUGGUCGAAGAUACCAGGCCGCUGCGACUGUUUAUUAAAAACACAGCACUCUGCAAACACGAAAGUGGACGUAUAGGGUGUGACGCCUGCCCGGUGCCGGAAGGUUAAUUGAUGGGGUUAGCGCAAGCGAAGCUCUUGAUCGAAGCCCCGGUAAACGGCGGCCGUAACUAUAACGGUCCUAAGGUAGCGAAAUUCCUUGUCGGGUAAGUUCCGACCUGCACGAAUGGCGUAACGAUGGCGGCGCUGUCUCCACCCGAGACUCAGUGAAAUUGAAAUCGCUGUGAAGAUGCAGUGUAUCCGCGGCUAGACGGAAAGACCCCGUGAACCUUUACUGUAGCUUUGCACUGGACUUUGAGCCUGCUUGUGUAGGAUAGGUGGGAGGCUUUGAAGCGUGGACGCCAGUUCGCGUGGAGCCAUCCUUGAAAUACCACCCUGGCAUGCUUGAGGUUCUAACUCUGGUCCGUGAUCCGGAUCGAGGACAGUGUAUGGUGGGCAGUUUGACUGGGGCGGUCUCCUCCUAAAGAGUAACGGAGGAGUACGAAGGUGCGCUCAGACCGGUCGGAAAUCGGUCGCAGAGUAUAAAGGCAAAAGCGCGCUUGACUGCGAGACAGACACGUCGAGCAGGUACGAAAGUAGGUCUUAGUGAUCCGGUGGUUCUGUAUGGAAGGGCCAUCGCUCAACGGAUAAAAGGUACUCCGGGGAUAACAGGCUGAUACCGCCCAAGAGUUCAUAUCGACGGCGGUGUUUGGCACCUCGAUGUCGGCUCAUCACAUCCUGGGGCUGAAGCCGGUCCCAAGGGUAUGGCUGUUCGCCAUUUAAAGUGGUACGCGAGCUGGGUUUAGAACGUCGUGAGACAGUUCGGUCCCUAUCUGCCGUGGACGUUUGAGAUUUGAGAGGGGCUGCUCCUAGUACGAGAGGACCGGAGUGGACGAACCUCUGGUGUUCCGGUUGUCACGCCAGUGGCAUUGCCGGGUAGCUAUGUUCGGAAAAGAUAACCGCUGAAAGCAUCUAAGCGGGAAACUUGCCUCAAGAUGAGAUCUCACUGGGAACUUGAUUCCCCUGAAGGGCCGUCGAAGACUACGACGUUGAUAGGCUGGGUGUGUAAGCGUUGUGAGGCGUUGAGCUAACCAGUACUAAUUGCCCGUGAGGCUUGACCAU
rnacentral:rRNA from 1 species